GUUGGUGGAUAUGGAAUCUAGCUAUCUAACAGUGAAUUUUUCUGGAAACUUCAUCUUGAGCCAGAGAAGGCUCAAAAUUCUCAGGCCCAAAUGCAGACCGUUAUUUUGAUAAUCAUUUCAGAAGAAUUGGAUCAAAUGUCACUGCUUAUAUAAAUAUGGUGUGCGACACGCUCAGGAAUUCUAUUCCGAAGGCUGUGGUUUACUGCCAAGUAAGAGAAGCCAGGAGAUCACUUCUAAACUACUUCUACAGUCAAGUUGGGAGGAGAGAGAAGGAGAGGCUUGGUGCAAUGUUGGACGAGGACCCACAGCUCAUGGACAAGCGAGCAACCUUAGCUAAAAGACUUGAGUUGUACAAGCAAGCUAGAGAUGACAUUGAUUCUGUGGCCUGGAAAUAGCAAUCUCUGAUUCUAUAACAAUUAUGCAGGCUUGCAAAUUUUUUAUGCUUAAAAAAGCUUCACAGCCUAAAUCUUCUCUCAACUUUGCACAUUCUUUUGUACUCAAUUUUGAAAAGUAUCGAGUUUACUUUGGAUU